AGUGAACGCUGGCGGUAGGCCUAACACAUGCAAGUCGAACGGCAGCACAGGAGAGCUUGCUCUCUAGGUGGCGAGUGGCGGACGGGUGAGGAAUACAUCGGAAUCUGCCCAGUCGUGGGGGAUAACGUAGGGAAACUUACGCUAAUACCGCAUACGACCUUCGGGUGAAAGAGGGGGAUCGCAAGACCUCUCGCGAUUGGAUGAGCCGAUGUCGGAUUAGCUAGUUAGUGGGGUAAUGGCCCACCAAGGCGACGAUCCGUAGCUGGUCUGAGAGGAUGAUCAGCCACACUGGAACUGAGACACGGUCCAGACUCCUACGGGAGGCAGCAGUGGGGAAUAUUGGACAAUGGGCGCAAGCCUGAUCCAGCCAUACCGCGUGGGUGAAGAAGGCCUUCGGGUUGUAAAGCCCUUUUGUUGGGAAAGAAAUCUUUCAGGCUAAUACCCUGGGAGGAUGACGGUACCCAAAGAAUAAGCACCGGCUAACUUCGUG
rnacentral:rRNA from 1 species